rnacentral:rRNA from 1 species
GACGAACGCUGGCGGCGUGCUUAACACAUGCAAGUCGAACGGAAAUGCCCUGCUUUUGUUGGUUGCUCGAGUGGCGAACGGGUGAGUAACACGUGAGUAACCUGCCCUUGACUUUGGGAUAACUUCAGGAAACUGGGGCUCAUACCGGAUAUGAGCUCCUGCUGCAUGUUGGGGGUUGGAAAGUUUCGGCGGUUGGGGAUGGACUCGCGGCUUAUCAGCUUGUUGGUGGGGUAGUGGCUUACCAAGGCUUUGACGGGUAGCCGGCCUGAGAGGGUGACCGGCCACAGUGGGACUGAGAUACGACCCAGACUGCUACGGGAGGCAGGAGUGAGGAAUAGAGCAAAAUGGGCGGAAGCCUGAUGCAGCAACGCCGGGUGCGGGAUGACGGCCUUCGGGGUGUAAACCGCUUUCGCCUGUGACGAAGCGUGAGUGACGGUAAUGGGUAAAGAAGCACCGGCUAACUACGUG